UCUAUCCUUUCGUUAAAGUCUUCAAAAAAAUUUUAGUAUGAGAAAUACGUUUUAAAAUGAUUUUCCUGCUACAUUCAGAGCACCCAAUAAACUCGGCAUCGUUUCCCUAGAGAAAUUCCUCAGUUAGGUGUUUGUCCUAUCCUCUAGUUAAAGUCUUCUGCUGUGAUUUCUGCCAGCAGCAUCCAUACGGUGGCAGGCCAAUAGUGCAGACACAAGAUAGAGUAUACCUGCCUUCUUCAAGCGAGAAUGGUAACUGGAGUGCGUUUGUCUGGCUGUGUUUUUUCUCAAAAUGGCUAAAGACGUGGAGUUUAUUUGUGUUGUGCUGUGAAAUGUGCAUUGAACAACUUACGCAAAGGAUUAUUUAACGAUGGCCGAGUUCAGUAUCGAUGUUUCCUGCUUACCGGAGGACGUCCGGGAAAAACUAGCCGAGCUCGAUCUCGAAUUAUCUGAAGGUAAGCCCUCUCACUUUCAAGAAUUCGGUUUAAACUGUGAGUCCAGCUUUUUGACCAGUCAGUUUAUCGGUGACUAUCUCGUGAGUCAUGAUCCUAUAAACCAAGUAGCAAUUCCUAACACUAUUUUUUCAAUGGACUCCUGUGUGUCAUCCUACCAGAAGGUAAAACAAAUCUCCCGUGGAUUACAUUCGACGCAGAGCCCCUGUUUAUAAGGGAAACUAUUUAGUAAAGAAAGAAUGCUUGCGUAUCCGUUAUAUCAAUUUUUUUUAAAAUGUUUAUUGAUGAUCAUGAUUACAAAUUAUUAAAUGUUUUUACGUCAACUAUCUUAAUCAAUGUGAACUAGAUAACGUAACGCAGAAACUGCGUUAAUUAUGUCAAAUCUUGCAUCGUUGAAUCCCGCAAACGAAACCAAUCAAUUUCUCCAAAACGAUAAGAAAGCGGAAAUAAACCAGUGAGUUGCACUGAUAGAUCGCAGUAUUUUACGCUCGGUCCCUUGCAGCUUCAUUUCAUGUAGGGUCAGUGCUCCCAUUUCCCAGAAGUAGUACCAAAUUCCGGAACUUUUGAGAUUUGCAUUAAUUUUUCCCGGAACUUUUGAAAUCACCGAAAUGUUCCGGAUCUUUUGCAUUUUCCGGAACUUUCUUGGAACUUUUGAAAACGUCUUAAAAGAAUCCCAGAACUUUUGACGGUCAUGGAGUGGGAGAAAUUGGAAAAAAAAGUUCCGAAUUCCGUUACUUUUGACGGACAUGGAAUGGGAGCACGAGCACUGCAUAGGGGUUUCAAAAUAAACUUCUUUUGUUUUUUUUUUGGGGGGGGGGGUGCUCAAAUGCACAUCUAGCCGUUACGGAUCCGUUUUUCGGCAAAAUUUUAAAGUAAAUUUCUUAGCAAGAUUAGUCGGAAAUCUGAAUGUUUGUUAAAUUCUGGUGCUUGGUCCCGCACGAGUUCUUUUCGUGUGAACGUGACC
rnacentral:lncRNA from 1 species